rnacentral:ncRNA from 1 species
CUGGCUCCGGUUCACGUCCCGCAUCCGCGGACGACCCGGCGCU